rnacentral:rRNA from 1 species
UACGGAGGGUGCAAGCGUUAAUCGGAAUUACUGGGCGUAAAGCGCACGUAGGCGGACUCGUAGGUCAAUUGUGAAAUACCUGGGCUCAACCCGGGAACUGCAGUUGAAACCGCUUGUCUUGAAUACCUGAGAGGGUGGGGGAAUACCUGGUGGAGAAGUGAAAUUCGUAGAGAUCAGGUGGAACACCGGAGGCGAAGGCGCCUGCCUGGCAGUGUAUUGACGCUGAGGUGCGAAAGUGCGGGGAGCAAACAGG